GCCUGACUUCCUGCUCUAUACUAUGAUCAGGUAUGGGGCCUGACUUCCUGCUCUAUACUAUGAUCAGGUGUGGGGCCUGACUUCCUGCUCUAUACUAUGAUCAGGUAUGGGGCCUGACUUCCUGCUCUAUACUAUGAUCAGGUGUGGGGCCUGACUUCCUGCUCUAUACUAUGAUCAGGUAUGGGGCCUGACUUCCUGCACUUCCUGAGGAUGAUGUCAUACUUUCACUUUCAGCUGCUUGUCUCCCCUCUGGCAGGACCAGUCCAAAUAUAACAUGAAGGAUCCAUUGGCCUAGUGUGAGACCAUGAAAACCGUGAGGUAUCAUGGGUAAAUUGUGACUGACUGAUGUACAAAUAAUAUUAAGUAGUUAUUUAUGAUGCAAGGUGGUUUGUAGAUCAGUCAAGUCUCGUCUUUAAAUUCGGCGGCCAUGUCUAACGGUCCCAUUUUGUUUUUCUGGGCGGGAACAUACAUAGACCAUGUUACAUACAUGAUAUAUACACAUAGACCAUGUAUGAUUUAGUUGUAUUACCAUAGUGAUGAGACUUUUCUCCUGUAACUUUCACAGGAGUGUUUAUUUAUGAAUCCUUUUGUAUCAAAGAAAUACAUUGGAACAACCAAAACAACUGAGCCGCCCCAAAUAUAAAAGGAACAUUGUUAAUAUGAUUUGUUGAUAUGUUUUCAUUAAUUACUAAAGCAAUACUCUUUUAUAAGGUCAUUGUUAUUAUAUUGACAUCACAAAUGCAGAAUGUGUGGAUUAAGACGUGUUUUCUAAUUCUUUCAUCAACACACAUACGCAUUACUUUUUGUAAAUAAAUGUAUGGAGCUGUUCUGUUUCUCUGUAUAGUUGUACAGAGUAAAUGUGAUACAGCCUGGGAUUGAACCCGGGUCUGUAGUGACGUCUCUAGCACUGAGAGGCAGUACCAUAGAACGCUAUGUCACCCAGGAGGCUAUAGUGGACUACUCCUGACCGUGAUCCAUAGUCCACUGUUAGGAUAGAAGAUAGAAGAGCUGUGUCACAUGUCAAGGUGUCUGUAUUCUUCUGACUGGGUUUUGAAACUGUCACAAUAUCACCCCCCCAAAAAAAUGGAACUUUUGUAUAUUGUGAAUGAACUGGCUUUAGGGAGAAGGGUUCCGACAUCAUUCCACAACAGAAUGGUUCUAAUUUAGAAUGAUUCCUUUACAUUCCUUCCUAAAGAGCACGUAAAACAAACACAGCACUUGAUGACAGUUUACAGUUGACUAGCUUUAGGCUUUAGGUUGAGGAUGAUUCAACAAAUGUCUUGUUUUACCAGACUGUUAAAAGUAAGUAGAAAACCCCUGCCUGUUUACUGCCAAGGAAAAGUACUGUGAUAUUAUAUAUGAACGUCAUUUCACUCAUCAUUACAACCAGACGUAUAGCUCUCUAUUCAUCCUGGAUGGCUGAAACGUUACAGACUGUGCGGUAGAAAUGUAAAGGUAAUUUCAGAUGGAGACGACAUCUGCAGUGUUUACGGUAAAUGCAGUCUCCGCUAUAACGCGGGAACAUUGCCCUUAAAUUUAAAUCAAGCCGUACCGUUGUACUUCAGUGAUACGGAUUGCAUAGAGCGCUUCAAUAAUGACUUUGUCUGAUAAAUAUUUGAAUACUAAUCAUAAAAUACCCACUAGUUUCUAAAUGAUACGGUGGUGUUUCACAGCUUUACAGUUGGAAUUAAAGUUGAGACCCAGCAGGCAUAAUUUGGCGUGGGUACGUCAGAAAAGGAGAUCAGUUUAAAAUAUUUUCUAUCAAUUUUUCUAUCUACUAUUUACCCUUUUGGAAGAAAUAUGAAUUGAUUUUGUUUUAAAUCUCUCCUUGUUAUGCUUGAUGUCACAGUAUGAGUGAAAGCUUUGUGUAUAAAAGGUGUACUUUGGUAUGUGGCCAUUACAUAACUCUGUACCAGGGGUCUCCAACCCUGUAGGUUUACACUCCAACCCUGUUCCUGGAGAGAUAUUGUCCUGUAGGUUUUAACUCCACCUCCAGGACAGUAUCUCUCCAGGAACAGGGUUGGAGGGCCCUGUAUGUAACUACUAUACACAUUGACCAUGAUAUCACCAUAUCAUCACUAUAGAUAUCAAUAUGUUGUUGUUUACACCGUUGAA
ensembl:lncRNA